AAAUUGAAGAGUUUGAUCAUGGCUCAGAUUGAACGCUGGCGGCAGGCCUAACACAUGCAAGUCGAGCGGUAGCACAGAGAGCUUGCUCUCGGGUGACGAGCGGCGGACGGGUGAGUAAUGUCUGGGAAACUGCCUGAUGGAGGGGGAUAACUACUGGAAACGGUAGCUAAUACCGCAUAACGUCGCAAGACCAAAGUGGGGGACCUUCGGGCCUCAUGCCAUCAGAUGUGCCCAGAUGGGAUUAGCUAGUAGGUGGGGUAACGGCUCACCUAGGCGACGAUCCCUAGCUGGUCUGAGAGGAUGACCAGCCACACUGGAACUGAGACACGGUCCAGACUCCUACGGGAGGCAGCAGUGGGGAAUAUUGCACAAUGGGCGCAAGCCUGAUGCAGCCAUGCCGCGUGUGUGAAGAAGGCCUUCGGGUUGUAAAGCACUUUCAGCGGGGAGGAAGGCGGUGAGGCUAAUAACCUCAUCGAUUGACGUUACCCGCAGAAGAAGCACCGGCUAACUCCGUGCCAGCAGCCGCGGUAAUACGGAGGGUGCAAGCGUUAAUCGGAAUUACUGGGCGUAAAGCGCACGCAGGCGGUCUGUCAAGUCGGAUGUGAAAUCCCCGGGCUCAACCUGGGAACUGCAUUCGAAACUGGCAGGCUAGAGUCUUGUAGAGGGGGGUAGAAUUCCAGGUGUAGCGGUGAAAUGCGUAGAGAUCUGGAGGAAUACCGGUGGCGAAGGCGGCCCCCUGGACAAAGACUGACGCUCAGGUGCGAAAGCGUGGGGAGCAAACAGGAUUAGAUACCCUGGUAGUCCACGCCGUAAACGAUGUCGAUUUGGAGGUUGUGCCCUUGAGGCGUGGCUUCCGGAGCUAACGCGUUAAAUCGACCGCCUGGGGAGUACGGCCGCAAGGUUAAAACUCAAAUGAAUUGACGGGGGCCCGCACAAGCGGUGGAGCAUGUGGUUUAAUUCGAUGCAACGCGAAGAACCUUACCUGGUCUUGACAUCCACAGAACUUUCCAGAGAUGGAUUGGUGCCUUCGGGAACUGUGAGACAGGUGCUGCAUGGCUGUCGUCAGCUCGUGUUGUGAAAUGUUGGGUUAAGUCCCGCAACGAGCGCAACCCUUAUCCUUUGUUGCCAGCGGU
rnacentral:rRNA from 1 species